UCUAAACGUAUAAUUCAUUGCCACCACUCGCCUUCAGCUCCUGUUCGCGUGCAACCGACUUCAGAUCUGGAACCAAACGAACGAACAGAUAUCGCCGCCGCUUGCCUUCAGCUCCGUCGACGUCGCCACCGCUCGCCUUCAGCUCCGUCAACGUCGUCACCGUCCUCCAUUGCAACAGUCACCGUCGUCCUCCAUUGCCUUCAGAUCUGGACAGCUCCGUUCCGCCGCUGCCGCGCCGCCGCUGUCCUCCACUGCCGCUCGUCCUCCGCCGCCGCUCGCCCUCCGUUGCCGACGCUCCUUGCCGCCCGCAGACGCCGACGCUCUUCGCCGAAUCAAUUUUUCAUUUCAAGUCUUUCUGGAGAUGACAUUAUACAGAAUCGUGUUAGAUGCAUUGUAUAAGCGAAUCAUGAGAGCUUAUAAUGAGAACAAUUGUUUCAGGGUUAUUAUUAUCAUACCUCUCCUUCCUGGAUUUCAGGGUGGAUUAGAUGAUAGUGGUGCUGCAUCUGUCAGAGCUAUCAUGCAUUGGCAAUAUCGGACAAUAUGCAGAGAACAUAGUUCAAUAUUGUAGAAUCUUCACGAUCGGAUUGGCUCUAGAGUGAAUGAUUAUAUAUCAUUCUAUGGUCUCACUGCUCAUAUAUGUUAGCGGCAUCUAUUUUCUGAAUUCAACUUCUCCUCUCUCAUGUUUCUCAGUUUUCAUAGCUAUUGUUCAUUCACGGUGGAUUCAUGUGUUUGCCAAUUUUCUAGAUUUAUGUGCACAACAAGAUCAUGAUAAUUGAUGACUGUAAAACCUUGAUUGGAUCGGCAAAUAUAAAUGACCGGAGCUUCCUUGGAUCAAGAGACCCUGAUGGUAAGCUAUUUAUUUCGUAUUUGACAUUCAUUUUAGCUAUUAUUGUCAUGGUAUACUUUUUAAUCAACUUAUACUCUGUACACUGUAGGAAAGACACCCAUGCAGAUUACAAUCAUUACAUUCUGUUUAGCAUGCUUCUCUCAUUUAGAACUCUCAAUUCAAGGAGUUCUUGCCUCAAGGAAAAUGGAUACAUGGAAAAGCUAUGAGAAUUGUUGGGAUUUCCGUUCUUUAUUUUUUAGUGGGAAAUGUGUUACAAAUCCAUUCUUCUCUUUGAGAAUUACUGGGAUUUUGAUUCCUACUUAUCGCUUCAAAGCCUUUUUAAAUACUACAUUCUUGUUUAAUAUCACUGGGAAUUCGAAGUUUUAUUUAUUUCAUGGGGAUUAUAUGAACAUAACUCAUUAAUAUGCCUAUGCUGAUAACUAGUCUACUCUGUCCUCCUUCAAAGGGAUUUAUCUCUGUUUUUUUUUUCGUGUCUCAAUUUAAGCAGGUGCAGUCUUUCUUGUAUGCUUAAUCAUCACAUGCAGGUUAUUUUAUCUUAUCGUGGUUCUCUGUUACAUUCCCUCACUAUUCUUAAAAUUAUCUUUUACUAGACUGUUUCUUUAUCUAAUUUACAAUUUUUGGACUUCGGCAAUAAUCUUACUUGUGUUGGCAAUGAUUGUUCUGGAUAUAAUGGAUUAAUGGUACAUUCUCUUGACAAUUUAUAGGAGAGUGCUUCUUUACUUUGACUUUUUCCCUAGAUCCAAUCCAUUUAUGAGUUAGUUUUAUAUAUGCGUGCAUGCUGUCUUUAAUUUAAUGAAGCUAGCUAAGGGACAGAAUUGAAGAUGAACAUACACAGGCACUUAGCUUCAUUCUGUCAUUUUAAUUUCUGGUAAUCUAUGUUGUUUUUAUUUCUAUGUUGGUAAUCUUGCACAUGGUUCAGUUUGUUUGUAUCAAUCAUAGUAUGCAAUUGCAACUGUGCGAGCAACAGACAAGAAAAGCCCUAGAGAAGCUGUUGAAUUUGUUUUACAACUUUUAAAGGUCAGGUAAAGCUUGGUGUGCAUGCAAUGAGGUUAUGUCAGAUAAGAAAUGAAUCUAGCUAUGACCAUGAAUUGAAUAGUGACACCCUUGUUGCUUUGCUGUUGCUGUUCAAAUCUGGCUAUCCAUGGGGCUUUGCUGUUCAAAUUUUUCGUGGAGUGUUGUCUCCCCGUGAUCGAAAUAGAAAUGCCAUCAAGGACCUUCUUAAAUUGGUACAAGAGAGCAGAUUAUACAGCCUAUGCUUUUAACACAAGGCCUGUAAUGAGGAACCCAUGCCAAAAGCCUUUUGUCUUUUAUUUGUCAAGUGCAAAAAUGGAUCCUUUGGGAGUUUGGGUAAUCAAACGGUCAGCAAGUAUACUCGUCAUCGAGUUCCUCAUCCCGCGUGCAAAUGGAAAAUGGCACAACCUUCUGACAUUGAGAGAAUAGAGGUUUAUAAGAAGCCAGAUCCACAUUUAUGGGAUAGAUCUCCGAGGAGGAACUUCUGCAGAGUCUUAAAUUCCGAGGGGAAAAACAUGGUGGUGGAUGUGGGUGUAUGUAGGGAAGGUGAGGCCAGUGAAAUAUGAUAAUCCGAAAUUUUGAGCGCCAUUAGUUUUCAAAGGUCAAGAGUAGGGCUGUUAGCGAACAGAGCUUUCGACAAACUACUCGUGUUCGAGCUCGGUAAGCGUUCGUUUAUGUUCGUUUAUUAAGAUAAACGAACAUUAACAAACAAAAUUUAUAGCUCGGUUAAUAAA